UAGAGUCCCCAGCAUGUUUUUUUUUCAGUUUAGAAGUAUUAUUCGAUAUUUAUUGGUUAAAUACUAUGAAGGCUAUAUAUACUUAAUCAUAACUGUUGACUUCGGGCGCUCCAAGAAGUUAUUAAAUCUUUAGAGAAGAUCCCUAGAAUAUCAGGGAUUUAAGAAUUUAAAAUUGGGCAAACAAUUUUUGUAAAUAGAGUGUCUUUUCAGAGUUAUAGAAUUACUCGGAAGCAUAGGUUUGACAUUCAAGUUCAGAAAUCAUCUCCUCUAUACCAUAUUUGCAAGGAAUCGAAGACUCGACUCGAAGAAGAAAACAAUUUAUUUAGAAAGCAAUUUAAUUUUAAAAUUCGGGCGUAUUAAUAUUGAUCCUCUUCUUUUUCUUGACUGGUGUAGACACCGCUUACGCGGUUAUAGCCGAGUCCAUAACAGCGCGCCACGCAUCUCUCCUUUUGGCAACUUGGCGCCAAUUGGUAAUAUCAAGUGAAUACAGGUCCUUCUUCACCUGGUCCUUCCAUCGGAGUGGAUAUUGAUCCUCCAUUCAUAUUGAUCCACAUUUCUUAAAAACUCAAGGUGUAGCGAACGAUGCCCUCAAAGCAAGAUUAUCAACAGGGCCCUGAUACGCACGAACUCAUAUUUUAUUCCUCAUGUGGACGAUCUUUGAAAUGGGUCUAACCAUUACUCCCUUAAGUCAUGUGAUUUGAUUAUAGGUUAGGUUAAACUGCUUGUGGUGGAUUUGUUGUUGUAGUAGUGACGGAACUCAUUCCUAAAACAAUUCUGACGAAAAUUGCCGAGUCCUUGGACGGAUGAAAAUCCCGAAGGUAUCCGUUCCGAUUUCGUAGGCCCGACCUCGUUGUUGUGGUGACGUGGUGUGUUCGUCUUAUAAACAAGCUUCGAGUCAUCGCUUGGUUUCCCUGCUGGAGUGAUGGACGGAAAUGAUUCCUACAAGACUUAGUCGCGAUUUUCAUGUAGAAAAUUCUAUUCUGAAUAUCAAUGGUUCAAUUGCUGUGCUGGGCAAUGCAGUAAGACAUAUAAAACCUGAGAGCAGCACUGCUUCGGUCGUACUUUUGAUGGUGACCGAAUCGUAUAGUAAGUAAUGGACCUGGAAAUCCUACAAUAAAUGAGGCAUCUAGAUGAAACUGGAAUCUUAGAUUGUUCCUGGUUGUCUGUCCACAAAAGCUCUUCAGUCGUUUCGCGAAAGUCAUUGUCAAGUUUCUCACCACGUGCAAUUUGCAAUACAGAGGAGUUCUUACUCACUUUCUACUACCAUUAGAUGUUGGAUCCUUUAAGAGCCGCAGAGUUUGGAACCAUCGGAAAUAACAUUUGGUGCUCAAAAGUGGAUUACUUCUAUAUUUUCCUAAAAAGCAUAAUUUUCUAAAUAAUUCCGUUUUUUAAAAGAAGCGUUAAAAUUCAAAUUUAUGAUUCCUGAACUCAAAUAAUUGAUUUUUGUUCAGAAUUUCUUUGGUAUCAUAAUAAAUAAUAAAUUUUUAAGAUUUA